rnacentral:rRNA from 1 species
UGCAAGUCGAACGAUGAAGCCCAGCUUGCUGGGUGGAUUAGUGGCGAACGGGUGAGUAACACGUGAGCAACGUGCCCAUAACUCUGGGAUAACCUCCGGAAACGGUGGCUAAUACUGGAUAUCUAACAUGAUCGCAUGGUCUGUGUUUGGAAAGAUUUUUUGGUUAUGGAUCGGCUCACGGCCUAUCAGCUUGUUGGUGAGGUAAUGGCUCACCAAGGCGACGACGGGUAGCCGGCCUGAGAGGGUGACCGGCCACACUGGGACUGAGACACGGCCCAGACUCCUACGGGAGGCAGCAGUGGGGAAUAUUGCACAAUGGGCGAAAGCCUGAUGCAGCAACGCCGCGUGAGGGAUGACGGCCUUCGGGUUGUAAACCUCUUUUAGUAGGGAAGAAGCGAAAGUGACGGUACCUGCAGAAAAAGCACCGGCUAACUACGUGCCAGCAGCCGCGGUAAUACGUAGGGUGCAAGCGUUGUCCGGAAUUAUUGGGCGUAAAGAGCUCGUAGGCGGUUUGUCGCGUCUGCUGUGAAAUCCCGAGGCUCAACCUCGGGUCUGCAGUGGGUACGGGCAGACUAGAGUGUGGUAGGGGAGAUUGGAAUUCCUGGUGUAGCGGUGGAAUGCGCAGAUAUCAGGAGGAACACCGAUGGCGAAGGCAGAUCUCUGGGCCAUUACUGACGCUGAGGAGCGAAAGCAUGGGGAGCGAACAGGAUUAGAUACCCUGGUAGUCCAUGCCGUAAACGUUGGGCGCUAGAUGUGGGGACCAUUCCACGGUUUCCGUGUCGUAGCUAACGCAUUAAGCGCCCCGCCUGGGGAGUACGGCCGCAAGGCUAAAACUCAAAGGAAUUGACGGGGGCCCGCACAAGCGGCGGAGCAUGCGGAUUAAUUCGAUGCAACGCGAAGAA